AAACUCAGACAAGAAGUAAUCAUUUUAUUUAAUCAAUUAUAUCUCCUAGCAAAUUGAACUUCGUGUUUUACAGGCUCACUAACUUGAGUGUGUUUGCCUUCUCCUGCAGACUGUCAAGCAAGCUGUCGAAGCUCUUCUUGAAGGAAUCCACACCCUCCAAUUCAAGUUGAGACCCAACAAAGCUCCAGUCAAUCCCCAACUUCUCGAGGGCGCUGUAGAUACCUUCGGCUUCAGAUACGUUUGAGUCGAUGGUCCUUGCAACAGAACCGUGAUCGAUAAAUGCUUGAAGAGCUUGGUCAGGCAUCGUUGAAACCUACCAGACAUUUCAUUAGAAAUGUUAACCAUCAUGCAAAUGCAGGUAAUAUGGAUUAUUCUCACCGUAUGGCCCUUUUUUGAGGCCACUCUUUAAUGUUUGUCCCCGUUUGCCUAGAAGGGCUAUAUUUUCCCUUUGAAAGUAAAAAGGCAGCCCGGUGCACUAAACCCCGCUGUGGCAGGGUUAAAGUAAGGGCCGGGCCAAAAGGAUCUAUUGUACACAGUCUUACCCUGCAUUUAUGCAAGAGGCUGUUUCCGCGGCUUGAGCACGUGACCUCCUGAUCACAUGGCUACAACUUUACCAACUUUACCAGUUACAAGUAGUCGAAUAAGUAACUCUUACCGCCAGGCUAACUUAAGAGAGAAUUUAAAUAGCGGCCUCCAAAAAGGUCAUUUGUAAUAAUGCCCAGGAGUAAUAUUUCAUUAUAUGCCAAUGCAAGAGAAGUGAUUUGAUGUCUUCUACAAAAAGAUGAGAAGACGACUCACCGUGUCAGGUCCAAUGAGAGGAUCCACAUAUAAAGUGUCGGGAUAUGCUGGGUUCUUAACACUAGUCGAGGCCCACAAUAGCCUCUGUUUCUUGGCGCCUUUCUUUACCAACGCAUCCCAUCUAGGACCAGAGAAUUUCUUCUGGUAAAGCUUGUAAGCCAGAGCUGCCUGUGCAUUUGCAGCCUGCAAUGGGAGUACAACAACGUGAGGUUAACCAAAACUUGUAUUUCUCUAGCAUAAAUAUUAGGAGUAGAAAAAUUCAAACAUGUAGUAGGUACCUUCCCACGAAGAUCAAGAGCCUCUGGAGUUCCAAUUUUCUCAAGCAUCUUGUCGACAAGUGUGUCUACUCGACUAACAAAAAAUGAAGCAACACUUGUGACUCUGGAGAGAUCACUUAGCCCUGAGGCCUCAAGGCCGUCAAGGUAAGCAUCAAUGACUGCUUCAUAUCUUGCAAGAGAGAAGAUAAGCUGCGGAUACACAUAGGAACUACUUCAAUAUUCAAGAAACUGAUAGAAGUACAAAAAGGCUAUGGAAGAAGGAACCAUACGAAACAUUUUUUAAAAAAGAAAACUGAAUGAAGGUUCUUAAACCAUAUAAUUUCUCUUUAUCAGCAUUCACUAAUCAAUUGCUAUGCAAUAUCUCUCUUAAGCACCAGAAGACAAGAAACUUUCAAUCACAUGCAACAAAGAAUCAACUUACCGUGACAUUGACACUUAUUCCAAGUGAAAUGACUUCCUUGAUGGAUGGAAUGCAUGGAGCAGUAGCAGGA
rnacentral:lncRNA from 1 species